AAAUUAUUGUUUUGUAUGGUAUUGGACGUGGAACAGUUCAGGAACGGCCUUUUCAAUGUGAACAGUGCCCAGCUGCGUUUGCGCGGAAACCUUAUCUCGAUAUACAUAUGCGAACGCAUACGGGCGAACGACCCUUCGAAUGUGACGUGUGCUUGAAACGUUUCACACAAAAGUCAUCGCUUAACAUCCACAAAACCAUACAUACCGUUGGAAAUCGACCAUUUCGCUGUGAUCUGUGUCCGGCCGCCUUUUGUCGCAAGCCGUAUUUAGAUAUUCAUCAGCGCACACAUACUGGCGAACGCCCAUUUGAAUGUGAGAUUUGUUCAAAGCGAUUUUCGCAAAGAUCAACAUUGAAUAUCCACAGACGCAUACACACAGGUCAGUUACAGAAUGCUCAUUUCAUAAUCCAUCAAAUCUACUACCUUGUCCCUACAACCACGCAUCCA